rnacentral:lncRNA from 1 species
AUGGGGACUCUGCCAGAUACAUUUGGAGAGCCCAAUGUGGGAGGAGAGACCAAGCUCAUGGCCACGUCCUCUGCCUGCCCCAAUCUUACCCUCUUUUCCCAAGAGGGUGUUGCCCUUCUUUUGCCAUUUCUGGGCCUCCUCCCAUCCCAUCCACAUCAUUCCACCCUUCCCACUCCCACUGGAGUCCUGCUAUACCUUGCUCCUGGAACCCCUUUCUCUGUCCUUAGCAUCUCCAAAUGGACUGGACUCCGCAAGCAAGCACUCUGCAGUGGACCCCUUGGGUCAUCCAUUCUGAUGGAAACAGUGAGUGGAAUUAAUCCUAAGUCUGUGAAUUUGGGCAGCUCAUCGACUCUCUCAGCUUUAUCCUCACCGGCUCAAGCCUUCUCCACAGCCCAGCCACGUGAGGGAGUCGUCAGCACUGGAACCCAGGGUCCACGGCCUCGGAGGAUCCGGACCCCCUCUGCAUUUGAGGAACUUGGCCUCCAGUCAGGGAGCCAAGAAGUCCCUGCCAAUCAAGGAGGGGGUGUGGGUUGGUGGGGGAGGCAGCCUUGGGGCAUGGGAGCUAAUAGACCAAGCUUGAGGGUUCUACUCCUGACUUCUGGAUUUUUCCACCUCUGUAUGGAAUAUGUUCCUUCUGUCUAACACUGUGUGAUUUGGGGACCAUCCAACUCAAAUGAAAGAAGCCAAGCCAUGCAGUGAGCCACCCCCUCCCCAAUGUGGGGUGCCCUCUGCCCCCCACCCAGCUCCCCUGCCCUCCCAGCUGAGGGAGGAUCGCCGCCUGGUGAUCUCAGCCUCCCCUCCGAGUGGGCUGUGAAGUGUCUAAUCCAGGCUUUCAUCUGGCAUCCACAAUUAUAAUGUCAAGAUUGAAUAAUCUGCCUUUAUCUCCCGGGUGACAGCCAUGUAGAAACUUCAAAAGAAACAGUUUUGCUGGCAUCUAACGGCUUUUGUUAAUUACUAUAUCCCAAAGAAAAUGAAAUAAAGGAGGGAG